UUCAAUCAGAUUGACUACAUAAAGAUAAAUUCGGUUAUUUAUUAUGAAUACACUAUUAUAUUUGAAUUGUCUACUUAGAUUUACGGAACCAACAUCUCAAACUUUAUCUCACACAUGGAUGAUGUUCUCCUCUCCUUUGACAUUGCUGGAGUGGAUGCCACUGCAGGUGUGGGAGCCCAAGGCCUUGACCUCAGUGACACAGUUCGAAGAAUGGAAGAAUAUAUUCCUCAAGUUAUUGUUGAGGCAGCUGUAAG
rnacentral:lncRNA from 1 species